rnacentral:rRNA from 1 species
GACGGAGGAUGCAAGUGUUAUCCGGAAUCACUGGGCGUAAAGCGUCUGUAGGUGGUCAAAUAAGUCAACUGUUAAAUCUUGAGGCUCAACCUCAAAAUCGCAGUCGAAACUAUUAGACUAGGAGUAUAGGUAAGGGGUAAAGGUACUUCAGUGGAGCGGUGAAAUGCGUAGAGAUUGGAAAGAACACCGAUGGCGAAGGCACUUUACUGGGCUAUUACUAACACUCAGAGACGAAAGCUAGGGUAGCAAAUGGG